GGGCCCGCACAAGCGGUGGAGCAUGUGGUUUAAUUCGAUGCAACGCGAAGAACCUUACCUACUCUUGACAUCCAGAGAACUUUUCAGAGAUGAAUUGGUGCCUUCGGGAACUCUGAGACAGGUGCUGCAUGGCUGUCGUCAGCUCGUGUUGUGAAAUGUUGGGUUAAGUCCCGCAACGAGCGCAACCCUUAUCCUUGUUUGCCAGCGAGUAAUGUCGGGAACUCCAGGGAGACUGCCGGUGAUAAACCGGAGGAAGGUGGGGACGACGUCAAGUCAUCAUGGCCCUUACGAGUAGGGCUACACACGUGCUACAAUGGCGCAUACAGAGGGCGCGGUGAAUACGUUCCCGGG
rnacentral:rRNA from 1 species